rfam:Canis lupus familiaris chromosome 22, whole genome shotgun sequence.
CACUCACUAUAGCAGUCCUAUACUAAAAUUGGAACCACACAGGGAAGAGAAGCAUGACCCCUGAACAAAGAUGACAUACAGAUUUGUGAAUAGUUCCAUAUUAAG